GUGAGGAAUAUUGGGCAAUGGGGGGAACCCUGACCCAGCAACGCCGCGUGGAGGAUGAAGGCCUUCGGGUUGUAAACUCCUUUUGUGGGGGAAGAGGAAGGACGGUACCCUGCGAAGAAGUCACGGCUAACUACGUGCCAGCAGCCGCGGUAAUACGUAGGUGACGAGCGUUAUCCGGAAUUACUGGGCGUAAAGCGCACGCAGGCGGCUGGAAAAGUUUGGUGUGAAAUCUCCUGGCUUAACUGGGAGGGUGCACUGAAGACUGUCUGGCUUGAGGCAGCGAGAGGGGUGUGGAAUUCCCGGUGUAGUGGUGGAAUGCGUAGAUAUCGGGAGGAACACCAGAGGCGAAAGCGACACCCUGGCGCUGGCCUGACGCUCAGGUGCGAAGGCGUGGGGAGCGAACGGGAUUAGAAACCCCAGUAGUCC
rnacentral:rRNA from 1 species